ACCUUACCAGCUCUUGACAUCUUCUGACAACUCUAGAGAUAGAGUGUUCCCUUCGGGGACAGAAUGACAGGUGGUGCAUGGUUGUCGUCAGCUCGUGUCGUGAGAUGUUGGGUUAAGUCCCGUAACGAGCGCAACCCUUGUUGUUAGUUGCCAGCAUUAAGUUGGGCACUUUAACGAGACUGCCGGUGAUAAACCGGAGGAAGGCGGGGAUGACGUCAAAUCAUCAUGCCCCUUAUGAGCUGGGCUACACACGUGCUACAAUGGAUGGUACAACGAGCAGCGAUCCCGCAAGGGCUAGCUAAUCUUUCAAAGCCAUUCUCAGUUCGGAUUGCACUCUGCAACUCGAGUGCAUGAAGUCGGAAUCGCUAGUAAUCGCGAAUCAGAAUGUCGCGGUGAAUCCGUUCCCGGGUCUUGUACACACCGCCCGUCACACCACGAGAGUUUGAAACACCCGAAGUCGGCCGGCCAACCCUAUGG
rnacentral:rRNA from 1 species